rnacentral:lncRNA from 1 species
CUCUCUUCAGAGCUUUUAUUUCUGCUGAGUGUACAGAGCAGGUGACACUGUCGUGGACCCGCGGGAGCUGCCCGGGCGUAACCGAUAACUACCCGGCCGGCCAUGACUGCGGAUGGCUAAUUUAAGGACUCUUUGAAUGACUUGGUAUUUAAGGAGCCUGGCUCGGGCGGAUCGGUUUCCAGAAAAGGCUGAUUGUGUCGUUAGAUUCCUAAAUAAUUUAAAGUGGGGAGCAGAGCCUUGCAGGACUGUCUGGGGAAGACGUAAGAAUGUGUUGGCCUCCUUUAUUCAAAUCUAAAAAAGUUUGUCUGCUAUUAGUACGUCUCUUCCAGCAUUACUCCAAUGCCAGUCGGGUCAUCAUUUAAAAUGACUUAGCUAUGCAGAUGCCAAAAGGUGUUAUUAAGUAAAAAUUUUCGGAUAAAUUAUUCAAGUAAAUCUUUAAAAGAUACAAGAAAGCAGAAUACUACUGUUGUACUUCAAAGAAAUAAGGCUUUCCAAGUUUAAGCUUGAGUCUUGCUUCAGAAGUUAUUGCUUGAGCCCAUUUAGUCAAUUGAAAACGUUAUAUAUACAGGCAAAAUGAGUUUGCUGGCAUUAGUCUCUUGCUUUCCCCCUAGGGGUUAUUUAGGCAACUUAGGAGGCUGACAGUGCCAAGAAGUUCCUGUUAAAUUGAGGUUUUAAAACAAGUUCCACCAUGCAUGGGUUUGGAUUUAUGGCAGGCCCGUCCCCCUGGGUCUCUCAUAGUGUUCCAUGCCAGAGCAAACUGUGGCCCCGAACCAUUGCCUGGCCUCUGCCUAUAGGCUGCUGGCACUGAAGAGGGUUGCACAGUGGAGAAAAGAAAGCCCUACCUGGCAGAAAAUUUUAAAGGUUCAGUAAUUUAAAGAAAACUCAUUUGCUAACAUCACAUUCUGUGAUGCCCAAGGACAGUGGCUUUUAUUACUAACCUGAUGUUAUUGCCUUUUUGUAAAUUAAUAGUUAG